AGCCGCGAAGCUCAGAUGGCAGAGCAAUCGACCGAUAAUCGAUAGGUCGUUGGUUCGAGUCCAACCGUGGCUACCA
rnacentral:tRNA from 1 species